rnacentral:rRNA from 1 species
AUACGUAGGUGGCGAGCGUUGUCCGGAAUUACUGGGCGUAAAGGGCGUGUAGGCGGCCUUUUAAGUCAGAUGUGAAAUCUCAGGGCUUAACCCUGAAACUGCAUUUGAAACUGGAGGGCUUGAGGAUCGGAGAGGGCAGUGGAAUUCCCAGUGUAGCGGUGAAAUGCGUAGAUAUUGGGAGGAACACCAGUGGCGAAGGCGACUGCCUGGACGACACCUGACGCUGAGGCGCGAAAGCUAGAGGGGCGAACGGGAUUAGAUACCCCGGUAGUCCUAGCCGUAAACGAUGGGUACUAGGUGUGGGAGGUAUCGACCCCUUCCGUGCCGCAGUUAACACAAUAAGUACCCCGCCUGGGGAGUACGGCCGCAAGGUUGAA